AGGGUGUAUCAGUACAUCGUUUCCCCAUGAAUGACAAGGAGAGGCUGAAUAAAUGGACGAAAUUUGUUAGGAGACAUAGGCCAAAAUUCGUUCCUCAGCAGUACUCUGUGCUAUGUUCAAUGUAUUUCGCAGAUUCUGCAUUCACCGUGAACGCAACAGUUGCAAAAUCGCUAAACAUGAGACGACGAUUGCGAAAUGGAAAUCCAUUGCUAGGCACAUUACAAACAAGCAUGAAAACCAUCCAGAUGAGUUGUUUCCUAAAUGUGCUCAUGGAGAGCUAGAUGAACGUCUAUGGCUUCAAGUUGAUGGGAUUGUAUUCUUUUUAAGGAACUAAAUCAUAUCAGCGACUUUCCUCCAUUCUGUUGAAAAAAUCUGUUCUCAAAGAUGUUAAAAAACUAUCUUCAGAAGCACAAACUAGUUGUCUCGAAGGUUUUCAUUCAACAUUAAAUGGUUGGCAUCCAAAGAUGACCCACUUUUCUUGGCUUGGUACAUAUUGCAGGUAACUUGUAAUCACUGUUCUCUAUCUGCCAAGCCUUUUUUACUUGUUCCUAGUCAAGAAAAAAAAUUACAUAAUAAAUGGUUUGUUCUGUUUAGGCACGUACUGGCAGUACUUCAUUUCAAUGAAAACCUUCACAGACAGCCAAAAA